GAAAAUGAGAGAUGCUGUCGAUUACACGUGUAUACGGUUUUCCAUAUCCGUAUGCGCAUCGCAAUGUGGGAAAACCUCUUAACCGCGAAACGCCUAUUACACAACCCGUGUUACCAGUCCGUAUACUUUUCCUGCUUGUAACAAGAACACGUAGCAUCGGCUCUGAAAAGAAAGGAAGUGCAUUUCCGUAAAUUUCCACCAUUACGCGGGAACAUUAAGCCGGAUAGCACGAAGUUCCUUCGAGAUAACUGUAAGUAUCGGCGCGAGAGAGGGAAGCUCUUGGCGUCCAUGAGCUAUACUUUGUACUCGCGCUCGCGGCGAUGUUAAUUAUAGUUUAGGAGUUUCGCGCCUAUUUAACCGGCGCGACAGCAAAAACGCGUAAUGUCUUACGAACUUUGAUUGCCUGCGCUAGUACAAUUUUCGUAAAAAAGCGUAAGAACUACCAUGCCGCUCGAGAGAAAACUUAAAAUAGGAAGAGAAAAAGAAGAAUUCCGUUGGCAAUCAGAUGUAACGAUGACAAACCUUUGUGCGCGGUUUAGGAAAGAUUUGAUUGGGACACCGUGGAAACGCGCGAGGCAAGGCUAGCGCUGCCGUACCGAGUAAACGAACCGGCGCAACGGCAAAAUCAUUGAAUAUUCACAUAAACAGAUGAACCGAACGGAUCCCAGUACCCGGUGAAUAUUCAAAACGUUCGCGGCGCGCGGUAAAAGUUAUUCCGGCCCGUAGAAAGCGUCGUAUACCUUGGGGAUCGUCGUCGACCAAGAUACUGAUCCACGGCAUCAUUGAUUGACUGAUGAAUUUGAGAUGAGUUCGAACCAUGCGUAACAGAAUAUGUAAAUAAUAGAUCGAGGAAACAGUGUUUUUACGAACUAAUUGAAACGCAUUUCCAUUGAAGGAUAAUUUACGUAUCAUUCAUUUCUGCCGUUGACGCAACUGUUGCGUCAUUCAAUAUUGCCGUACGCCAUACGCAGUAUGUAAUCAAAAGCGCACAGGCUGCAUUAUUUUAAGAUUUCGUGGAAAUAUGAUUAAAAUCAUUUGAAGGUGUAAAAUAAUUUAAAGUUUGGGAUAGAAAUACAAACUACAGACAUUAUGUAUGACUUUCUAUUACGAAGUGAGUGCACACUUUUCAUGUAUCUUGCCUAACAACGGCACGUUCAAUAUUUGACUUUACCGAAUUCACUUUUACCGUGGCUGAAAAGUCGUACUAUGUAUGAAGCGUGAAAGCAAGUAUUGUACUUUUGGAUGGUUAAACACAAUUUCAUUAUGAAUUUAUCCAUUCUAUUGGAAAAUGGGUUUCAAAAUGUUAUCUCUUAAAAAGACCGACUAACACAUAAAAUAACACAACGAGUUACCAAUUAUAAAAAGCACAAAACAAAAUAUCGUCAACGAGAUCAGGAAGAAAAUCUGAUUAAAAAUAUCACAGUUGAAUUAUAUCAAACUAUUAAAUGCAAAUAAAAUCGUAGACUUAAAUAAACGAGAAAAUGGAAAAGAACUAUGAAUUAAUUUGUAUACCUACUAAAAAAACUAAGAAUUUUAGUAUCUAACCUGCAACGCCUUAAGCACUAAAUUGUAGCAGUUCCUUAAAAGAACAUGUGUUGGAACAAAAGGAACGAUACUUUCUUUGUUAACCGAGCGUGAUCGAUGUCGAUAAGGGUAGAAAAACUAGUAGAGAGGAAGAAGUAGAAUGCGAGAGAGAGAGAGAGAGAGAAUCGCGUUGGAUGUUCGGAGCAAACACCUUAAGGGCAUUUCGCCAUUGGCAACGGUCGGAUUAGGGUGUUCGGGCCUA